rnacentral:rRNA from 1 species
UUAAAUUGAAGAGUUUGAUCAUGGCUCAGAUUGAACGCUGGCGGCAGGCCUAACACAUGCAAGUCGAACGGUAACAGGAAGCAGCUUGCUGCUUUGCUGACGAGUGGCGGACGGGUGAGUAAUGUCUGGGAAACUGCCUGAUGGAGGGGGAUAACUACUGGAAACGGUGGCUAAUACCGCAUAACGUCGCAAGACCAAAGAGGGGGACCUUCGGGCCUCUUGCCAUCAGAUGUGCCCAGAUGGGAUUAGCUUGUUGGUGAGGUAACGGCUCACCAAGGCGACGAUCCCUAGCUGGUCUGAGAGGAUGACCAGCCACACUGGAACUGAGACACGGUCCAGACUCCUACGGGAGGCAGCAGUGGGGAAUAUUGCACAAUGGGCGCAAGCCUGAUGCAGCCAUGCCGCGUGUAUGAAGAAGGCCUUCGGGUUGUAAAGUACUUUCAGCGGGGAGGAAGGUGUUGUGGUUAAUAACCACAGCAAUUGACGUUACCCGCAGAAGAAGCACCGGCUAACUCCGUGCCAGCAGCCGCGGUAAUACGGAGGGUGCAAGCGUUAAUCGGAAUU